GAUGAACGCUAGCGGGAGGCUUAACACAUGCAAGUCGAGGGGCAUCACGAGGUAGCAAUACUUUGGUGGCGACCGGCGCACGGGUGAGUAACACGUAUGCAACCUACCCUGUACAGGGGGAUAACCCGGAGAAAUUCGGACUAAUAUUCCAUAAUGAUAUUUUAGGGCAUCCUUUAAUAUUUAAAGCUUUGGCGGUACAGGAUGGGCAUGCGCAACAUUAGCUAGUUGGGAGGGUAACGGCCUACCAAGGCUAUGAUGUUUAGGGGACCUGAGAGGGUGAUCCCCCACACUGGUACUGAGACACGGACCAGACUCCUACGGGAGGCAGCAGUGAGGAAUAUUGGUCAAUGGGCGGAAGCCUGAACCAGCCAUCCCGCGUGCAGGAAGACAGCCCUAUGGGUUGUAAACUGCUUUUCCAGUGGCGAACCCCUGUACGUGUACGGGAUUGACGGUACACUGGGAAUAAGCAUCGGCUAACUCCGUGCCAGCAGCCGCGGUAAACCGACGAGU
rnacentral:rRNA from 1 species